GGGUGAGUAACGCGUGAGCAACCUGCCGUAUAGUGGGGAAUAACACAGGGAAACUUGUGCUAAUACCGCAUAACGCAUAGGGACCGCAUGGUCAAGAUGCCAAAGAGCAAUUGCUGUACGAUGGGCUCGCGUAUGAUUAGACAGUUGGCGGGGUAACGGCCCACCAAAUCGACGAUCAUUAGCCGAACUGAGAGGUUGAACGGCCACAUUGGAACUGAGAGACGGUCCAGACUCCUACGGGAGGCAGCAGUGGGGAAUAUUGGGCAAUGGGCGGAAGCCUGACCCAGCGACGCCGCGUGAGGGAAGAAGGUCUUCGGAUUGUAAACCUCUUUCAGCAGGGAAGAAGCAAGUGACGGUACCUGCAGAAGAAGUCACGGCUAACUACGUGCCGGCAGCCGCGGUAAUACGUAGGUGGCGAGCGUUAUCCGGAAUUACUGGGUGUAAAGGGUGUGUAGGCGGGAUUGCAAGUCGGGCGUGAAAUGGAAAGGCUCAACCUUUCAGCUGCGCUUGAAACUGUGAUUCUUGAGAGUGGGAGAGGUAAACGGAAUUCCUGGUGUAGUAGUGAAAUGCGUAGAUAUCAGGAGGAACACCGGUGGCGAAGGCGGUUUACUGGACCACAA
rnacentral:rRNA from 1 species